UGGGGAAUAUUGCACAAUGGGCGCAAGCCUGAUGCAGCCAUGCCGCGUGUAUGCAGAAGGCCUUCGGGUUGUAAAGUACUUUCAGCGGGGAGGAAGGGAGUAAAGUUAAUACCUUUGCUCAUUGACGUUACCCGCAGAAGAAGCACCGGCUAACUCCGUGCCAGCAGCCGCGGUAAUACGGAGGGUGCAAGCGUUAAUCGGAAUUACUGGGCGUAAAGCGCACGCAGGCGGUUUGUUAAGUCAGAUGUGAAAUCCCCGGGCUCAACCUGGGAACUGAAUCUGGUACUGGCAAGCUGGAGUCUCGUAGAGGGGGGUAGAAUUCCAGGUGUAGCGGUGAAAUGCGUAGAGAUCUGGAGGAAUACCGGUGGCGAAGGCGGCCCCCUGGACGAAGACUGACGCUCAGGUGCGAAAGCGUGGGGAGCAAACAGG
rnacentral:rRNA from 1 species